rnacentral:rRNA from 1 species
AUGAACGCUAGCGACAGGCUUAACACAUGCAAGUCGAGGGGCAUCAUGAGGUAGCAAUACCUUGAUGGCGACCGGCGCACGGGUGAGUAACGCGUAUGCAACCUGCCUGAUACCGGGGUAUAGCCCAUGGAAACGUGGAUUAACACCCCAUAGUACUUUUAUCCUGCCUGGGAUGGGAGUUAAAUGUUCAAGGUAUCGGAUGGGCAUGCGUCCUAUUAGUUAGUUGGCGGGGUAACAGCCCACCAAGACGAUGAUAGGUAGGGGUUCUGAGAGGAAGGUCCCCCACAUUGGAACUGAGACACGGUCCAAACUCCUACGGGAGGCAGCAGUGAGGAAUAUUGGUCAAUGGACGUAAGUCUGAACCAGCCAAGUCGCGUGAGGGAAGACUGCCCUAUGGGUUGUAAACCUCUUUUAUAAGGGAAGAAUAAGUUCUACGUGUAGAAUGAUGCCUGUACCUUAUGAAUAAGCAUCGGCUAACUCCGUGCCAGCAGCCGCGGUAAUACGGAGGAUGCGAGCGUUAUCCGGAUUUAUUGGGUUUAAAGGGUGCGUAGGCGGUUUAUUAAGUUAGUGGUUAAAUAUUUGAGCUAAACUCAAUUGUGCCAUUAAUACUGGUAAACUGGAGUACAGACGAGGUAGGCGGAAUAAGUUAAGUAGCGGUGAAAUGCAUAGAUAUAACUUAGAACUCCGAUAGCGAAGGCAGCUUACCAGACUGUAACUGACGCUGAUGCACGAGAGCGUGGGUAGCGAACAGGAUUAGAUACCCUGGUAGUCCACGCUGUAAACGAUGAUUACUAGGUGUGGGGGGUCUGACCCCUUCCGUGCCGGAGUUAACACAAUAAGUAAUCCACCUGGGGAGUACGACCGCAAGGUUGAAACUCAAAGGAAUUGACGGGGGCCCGCACAAGCGGAGGAACAUGUGGUUUAAUUCGAUGAUACGCGAGGAACCUUACCUGGGUUUAAAUGGGAAAUGCCGUAUUUGGAAACAGAUAUUCUCUUCGGAGCGUUUUUCAAGGUGCUGCAUGGUUGUCGUCAGCUCGUGCCGUGCGGUGUCGGGUUAAGUCCCCUCACGAGCGCAACCCUUACCGUUAGUUGCUAGCAUGUAAUGAUGAGCACUCUAACGGGACUGCCACCGUAAGGUGAGAGGAAGGCGGGGAUGACGUCAAAUCAGCACGGCCCUUACACCCAGGGCUACACACGUGUUACAAUGGCCGGUACAGAGGGCCGCUACCAGGUGACUGGAUGCCAAUCUCAAAAGCCGGUCGUAGUUCGGAUUGGAGUCUGUAACCCGACUCCAUGAAGUUGGAUUCGCUAGUAAUCGCGCAUCAGCCAUGGCGCGGUGAAUACGUUCCCGGGCCUUGUACACACCGCCCGUCAAGCCAUGGAAGCCGGGGGUGCCUGAAGUCCGUAACCGCGAGGAUCGGCCUAGGGCAAAACUGGUAACUGGGGCU